ACGUAGCCUCAUCCUUUUUGGAUGGUUAUCAAGCCGUGAGGGGAGAUAGCGACUGCAAGCAUCAAUGCGGUCGGGAGC
rfam:Candidatus Magnetoglobus multicellularis str. Araruama Cont307, whole genome shotgun sequence.